GCCCUAGUAGCCUAAUGGAUAAGGUCCUGGCUUCCAAAGCCAGGGAUUGCUGGUUGGAGUCCCACUUGAGGCA
rnacentral:tRNA from 1 species